CCUAGUAAGCGUGAGUCAUCAGCUCGCGCUGAUUACGUCCCUGCCCUUUGUACACACCGCCCGUCGCUACUACCGAUUGAAUGGCUUAGUGAGUCCCUCGGAUUGAUGUCCGGCAGCUGGCAACAGCAGCUGGACGUUGAAAAGUUGGGCAAACUUGGUCAUUUAGAGGAAGUAAAAGUCGUAACAAGGUUUCCGUAGGUGAACCUGCGGAAGGAUCAUUAAAAGGUAGUGUCGAGUUCAAUAAAUUAUUUUAUUAACUCGACAUCCUGAUCAUCCCUUAUGUGCACUUUUUAUUAUGCUUUGGUCGGUUGAAAGACUGACCAAAAGUUUAUUUACUGCCUUACUUUUAGCCUGAAAAAUACAUAUAAUUUAAAAUACAACUUUCAACAACGGAUCUCUUGGCUCUCGCAUCGAUGGAGAACGCAGCGAAAUGCGAUAAGUAAUGUGAAUUGCAGAAUUCCGUGAAUCAUCGAAUUUUUGAACGCAAAUUGCACUCUUCUGGCAACCCGGGGGAGUAUGCCUGUUUGAGGGUCAGUAUAAUUAAAAAUCGGUGCGUUGCAUUCUCUUUUGUGACGUUUCCGGAGUUGAGUUUAUCUUGACCUAAUUUUUUUUAGGUUAAGAGGCUUAAAAUUGAUAUCUUUUGCGCAUUUUUAGACGUACAUAAAAUUCUUUUUAUUCGUCUAUUUUAAUGUCAAAAUCUAUUAGAUUCGACCAAUUAUAUGGUUACGUAUCUAUAAUUAAUUUCAUGAUUUGACCUCAAAUCAGGUAGGAGUACCCGCUGAACUUAAGCAUAUCAAUAAGCGGAGGAAAAGAAAAUAACAAUGAUUCCCUUAGUAACUGCGAGUGAAGGGGGAAAAGCUCAAAUUUUAAAUCUGUUAGGUUAUACCUGACCGAGUUGUAAUUUGAAGAGGCGUUUUCUGAGGUUUUGAUCAGUCCAAGUCCUUUGGGAUAGGGCAUCAUGGAGGGUGAGAAUCCCGUUCGGGUUGAUCAGAACUUCUUUACGAUACGUCAUCAAAGAGUCAAGUUGUUUGGGAUUGCAGCUUAAAAUGGGAGGUAAAUUUCUCCUAMGGCUAAAUAACGGCGAGAGACCGAUAGCGAACAAGUACCGUGAGGGAAAGAUGAAAAGAACUUUGAAAAGAGAGUUAAACAGUACGUGAAAUUGUUGAAAGGGAAACGAUUGAAGCCAGUCGUACCGGCGGGUAAUCAGCCUUUUGGGUGUGAUUAUGUGGAGUGUGAGGAGUUAAACACCCUCAUCUUUGCAUAUUCGUGCACUUUGGGUGUACUUGCUCGUGUGGUAGGUUAAUAUCAAUUUUGAUCGUCAUAAAAUGAUUGGAGGAAUGUAGCUUCGAUCUCGUAUUGAAGUGUUAUAGCCUUCGGUAGAUGUGAUGAUUGGGAUUGAGGAUUGCAACGGAUACCAUUCGGGGCUACCUGUCUGAUCUCUGAGUGUUGCUCUGGUGCCGAAAGCUUGCUUAUGGUAUCAAAAUUGACGUUCAAUAGGUUAGAAUGGGUUAAAUUCGUUAAGGAUGUUGACGUAAUGGCUUUAAACGACCCGUCUUGAAACACGGACCAAGGA
rnacentral:rRNA from 1 species